rnacentral:rRNA from 1 species
AGUGAACGCUGGCGGUAGGCCUAACACAUGCAAGUCGAACGGCAGCACAGUAAGAGCUUGCUCUUACGGGUGGCGAGUGGCGGACGAGUGAGGAAUACAUCGGAAUCUACUUUUUCGUGGGGGAUAACGUAGGGAAACUUACGCUAAUACCGCAUACGACCUACGGGUGAAAGCAGGGGAUAUUCGGACCUUGCGCGAUUGAAUGAGCCGAUGUCGGAUUAGCUAGUUGGCGGGGUAAAGGCCCACCAAGGCGACGAUCCGUAGCUGGUCUGAGAGGAUGAUCAGCCACACUGGAACUGAGACACGGUCCAGACUCCUACAGGAGGCAGCAGUGGGGAAUAUUGGACAAUGGGCGCAAGCCUGAUCCAGCCAUACCGCGUGGGUGAAGAAGGCCUUCGGGUUGUAAAGCCCUUUUGUUGGGAAAGAAAAGCAGCAGGUUAAUACCCCGCUGUUCUGACGGUACCCAAAGAAUAAGCACCGGCUAACUUCGUG